AUGUGUUUCAAUUUUUUCGAAAAAGAGAGGUUUGAUGCUUCAGAAUUCAUUGUAUUAAUUCCACUUCCUACUCGCAGUAUGCUCUUAAUAAUCCCGGAUCAUGAUUUAAGUGCCAUGUAUUUAGCUAUUGAGAUUCAAAGUUUAUGUUUUUAUGUGAUCGCAGCAUCAAAAAGAAAGUCUAAAUUUUUCACGGAAGCCGGCUCAAAAUAUUUGAUCUUAGGUGCAUUUCCCUCUAGAAUAUAAUUGUUCGGGUGCGACCGGACUACUACCGAUCAAUUUUUUCGAACUUAUUUAUAG
rnacentral:rRNA from 1 species